GGUGGCUCAGCAGUAGAGUGCAUGCCUUGCAAGCAUGAGGCCCUGGGUUCCAUUCCUCAGCC
rfam:Dipodomys ordii contig_41794, whole genome shotgun sequence.